rnacentral:rRNA from 1 species
CCUACGGGGGGCAGCAGUGGGGAAUAUUGCACAAUGGGGGAAACCCUGAUGCAGCGACGCCGCGUGAGUGAAGAAGUAUCUCGGUACGUAAAGCUCUAUCAGCAGGGAAGAAAAUGACGGUACCUGACCAAGAAGCCCCGGCUAACUACGUGCCAGCAGCCGCGGUAAUACGUAGGGGGCAAGCGUUAUCCGGAUUUACUGGGUGUAAAGGGAGCGUAGACGGUAAUGCAAGUCUGGAGUGAAAUGCAGGGGCUCAACCCCUGAACUGCUUUGGAAACUGUAUGACUGGAGUGCAGGAGAGGUAAGUGGAAUUCCUAGUGUAGCGGUGAAAUGCGUAGAUAUUAGGAGGAACACCAGUGGCGAAGGCGGCUUACUGGACUGUAACUGACGUUGAGGCUCG